ensembl:lncRNA
GUCAUCCUGUAUUGUGAACAUAAAAGGCUUAAAACUGUAGAAGCAUUACCUCUGAAGGUAGUGAGAUCUGCUUGUCAUCACCCACCUGUGUUAAUCACUGACACAAUCAACGGAGACAUGAAACUGUAAAUCUGCUGCUUCUGUAAUCGGGCCUGAUGUACCUGAGAGGGAAAUUCAUUAGAAAGAACUUCCACAGGUAAAUACAUAAAAAGAAGAAGGUGGAAAAGCAUGUGAAGAGUUACACCAAGUAACAUUAGAACAACUUUUUCGGGCGGAGCUGCUCAUUUCUGCUCCACAGGUAACGACACCUGCUGAAGCAGUGGACAUCACUGCGCCCCAGCAUGAUCAAUACCUACAGGUUAAAGAAGCUGACCGCACUCCAUGAUUGUCUGGCAGGACAAAUGAACCAGCCGCUAAUGGAUGAGACACACCUGGAAUAACUGACUGAAGGCUGGACAGUCCUGAUCCCCAAGGAUCCCCUGAAGGGACCGGUCCCACCCAACUACAAGAUGAUAACCUGCCUCAGUACCACAUGGAAGCUCCUGUCAGACAUCAUAGAGGCUAAGAUUGUCAUCUCAACUCGUCAGUAACCCAAGGCAGACAUGGCUUCGCUGGCCAUUUGGACAAAGAUGACUCCUUUCCUUCGGUGAGAAAUCAAAGAGUUUGAGGGGUCUGUUAGUCCGAAUGAAGAACGAGGAGCUGAUGGGUGAGGAGACGACGUGAAGCUCACACUUCCACUCUGACAAGAUCAUGUGUGUUUCUGCUGCUCAGUGAAGCUCAUUGAUGGUCUGAGAACACGAGCUUGAAGAUGUUUGUUCUUUCUUUACUAACAGCUAACGAAUAAGCCUCAGUGAGAUGUUCUACCUGGAACAUGUUUCCACAUGGAAGGUUCCCUGUAACGUUAUGUCUGCAGAAUGAGAUGAAGCACAGAGUACAGAGUGUGAGAGGAAGCUUGUUCACCAGUCUGACAGUUAAGAUUCAUUCAAACAUUCACACCAGGCUGACACUGUGUGGACACUUCACAAGGAAAAUAUGAGCUCUGUUUUUAGUCUGAUACAAGAAUACAGUUGUUUACUAAAUCAUGUCACAGGAUCUGUUAUUGAUGCUCAUCAGAAAGUUUAGGCCUGGGUCAUCUCACUGAGGUCUAAGUGAUAGUCUGGGAAUGUUGAUGCCAUUUUCCAAAGAAAUGAUUGUUCAGGAGGAGGUGACUGUGAGAUAGAAAGCUCAGAGUUAUUGCACCUGCUGUCUGGAACAGGACCCAGAUGUUUCUCCAACAUUAUAACCUCAUAAUGACGACUAUGCAGAGUGUGUUGUUCCUCAGACAAAAGCUGCAGACUGUCAGGAACCAUCAGCGCUUCAGACCAGAUCAGCUUUUUGAUUUUUAACAAACCACAGAAAAGAAGAAUAUGCUUUCAUGAUUAAAAAGGAAGUGGUCCCAAGGAUGUAUGUAUGCAGCAGCAAAUCCACAACAAAGGUUUGAAAACUGAAUAUCAAAAAUCCAAACUACAGCAGACAACCUGACAAAGAAUUGAGAGGAAAAUGAGACACAGGCCAACAGGAUCAAACUAAUAAGUCACAGGGGAACUAAACACAAUGCACAAACUACACAUGAAAUCAAACACAUUAGUGUAACAGGAGAUGUAACCUCAUUGUAUUUUAGUCACAGUGCAUUCAGAAUAUUUGUUUAUCUAUCUGUGAGGGUUUACUGACAGAAAGUAGACGUUGACUCUGUGUGUGGACCGCUCACUUUACUGUCUGGUUUCAUGUAAAGAUGAAGCAAUGUGCUCAUGAAUUCUGCUUUUCAAUUCUUCCAUUGGACGUAUUUGAGGAAAAUGAUGGUGUCUGAGCUGUUUCUCAUCUUCAGCUUCAUAAUAACAGAUUCUCUGAGGGGUUCAGGUCAGGAGAGCUGACCAGUCAACCACUGUAAUAAGCGUUUGGUUUAGUUUGGCUGUGAGCAGCUUUUUAAUAAAGACUUUGAAUGAAAAGUAGAGUCAGUUUGAUUUGUGCACACAAACAUCACAGACACCCGUCUGUGCUCAGAACCUCCAAUCAGAGCAGGAGAAACUUUCAUUCACAAUUAAGUUUUAUUAAAUAUUAUUUACAUCCAUGUCUGCAGUUUGUUUUCAUGGCUGCAUAAUAUUUGGGACCCAGCAGUGAUGUAUUUCAGAGGCUAAAAACGCACAGGAAUAGUUUUCUCUCAACCAGAAUAAACUGGUUUCCAACUUUAAUCCGUGAAAACUUUCCAGUCUGUCAGUUCAGGCAUGAAAUGAAUGCUAAGGCAGAACACAAGCAAACAUGUGGAGUGGAGAGAGUAGACUGUUACUGUGAGCACAGUGAGACUUUCUUAGUCACACCAUGGCUGGACUGAAGGCUUCUACAACAGCCAGCAUCAGGAGGGCAGAGAUACAGUGAAGACACAUGGGCACUAGGGGGCAGCAGAGUGUCAGCAUGCUCAGUGUGGUAACAGGGAGGGCGGAGUUUAAAAAUGCAGCAGUGUGAAUUAAUUUCCUGGGUUAGUGUAGUCGGCUGCACUUUUCAACCAUCAUCAGUUCUGUAUCAGAAAACAGCUGAAUUACUCUCCAAAAACAAUGUAAUAUAUAUAUAUGUUGUACAAACCCCAGAGCACUGUAAUUAGGGCACACACAAACAUUAGUGAAGGAACAUUUAACUUGUGUAUAAAAAGUACAAAAAGUGAAACAGAUUAAAAAAAAAAAAAAAAAAAAAAAAAAAAGAAACAAAACCCUGUGCUCUGAUUUGGUGUCACAAGUUUGAGAACAGUUUACCAGAAAAAACAAUGCUGAACUCUGAAUGAUUACAGUGCUGUUCAGGCCCUUGGUAACAAUUGUAUUAGUAAGUGUGGUUCAUAGGUCACUCCAACUAUCACCAAGAAAUUGAUCAGCAGUGCUUGGAGACCUCCACAGUCAUUCUGAAGGACUUUCACUGGCUGGUAAUCUUCAUCAACAAGUGGUUUAUAGCUGUGACCCAGAAGAUUCUGAAAAACAUCAUAUCACCUUCAUGUCUUUAAGUGUUACCCCGUGUGUCAGAAAUAUGUUUGAAACUGAUUAUUAUCAUUGUAGUCACAACUUUGUGUUUUUGUAGUUGUUUUGAGAACAAACUACAUGUGGGCAGGUAAAAACG